CAGAGAGAGGGGAGCUGGAACAUGUUAGGGCCCCCGAAAGCCAAGAUACCCCAGAGCCCAGGAAUCUGAGAAGAGUCCACGUUGAGGGCAGCGUUCGCCUGCGUUCUCUGCCAAGGGGCUGUGGAUUUCGGGACUGAGCACCGUGUCCCGGGACCUCAUCCCCAGGAGGCAGGGCCAUGGGACAGCCCCCAGCGCCAGCCGUGUGGAAUGUGCCACUCUUGGAACUGAGGCUCUCGGUUUUUAAAAUUGGCUUGUAAAUCUCCGUGUAGUUUUCAGGCUUUAGGAAUUUUAUUUUAUCUGGAUUAAAGUCAUGUUCUGCUUUGGCAUAGGAAGGCGUUUAUGACUGUUAAAACAAGAAAUGAAAAAUAUAGGCCUGCAAUCAGCCGGGCUGCCUCCUGCCAGAGUCUAGGGAUUUGUCUUGGGGGCCAGGCUGAAGGUUUGCUGCCCUUCUCCCCGCACUGCUCUGUGUUUCUCCAGAAAGCUGGAGCUGGCUGCCUGGGAGCGGCUGUCGCGAUGGCUGGGAGGGCCUCAGGAACGAAGCCUUUGUCUUUGCUCAGGUGUGUUCUCACAAUGGGGAGCCACGGCCCUCCCCAAGGACCAGCGAGCAAUGGGCGCAUCUCAUUCGCUGCCUGCAUUUGCCCCCGCCCAUCCAAGAGAGCAGAAUCAGAGAGGGUGAAGGCAUCCCAGCCAAUGCCGUGAGAAAGCACCUGAGAACCUUAAGAGCAGAAAGGCAAGGCAAGCUACCAGCUUCUUGGACCAACCGCCUUUUGUCCUUGCUCAGGGGAAUACAAGCUUUCUUUCUCCAGACACUGCAAGUGUCCACAAGUUCUUCCCUUUAAAAGGGAUUAUGAAGGAAAUCUCGUUUCAGAAUUGCUGCUGCUUUUGGCAAUCUGCAAUAUUAGCCUGAUGAGGAAUUACACUCGCUAAUGAAAUCUCGCAAGUUGGGUUGAGUCUAAUUGUUGCUAGUGCUCGUAGUAAUAGCCUUUCUUGGGGACUUCUGUGCCGGAGCAUCCCUCGCUUGGCUACAGCCCAUGUGGAAAAUCAAUUUCCUCUAAAUGUUUGAAGAAUGGCACAGAAGGACCUGAUUUCUUUUCCCUCUGCUGGAGUUAAUCUGGAGACAGUGAGCCUAUAAAAUGAAUGAAAAUAGCUACGAUUGCAAGAUGCAGGGUGGAAUGCCGAGCUAAGCUAAGCAGAGCUGAUCGCACACUCCAAGUUCCAGCUUUUUGUCCUAAGGCCAGAGACAAUAUACAUUCGUGUCCCAAAUUGAUGGGCUCUUAAAAAGUCACAGAACAGAAAGGAUUUUACUUCAACCUGGCAAUUUCACUUCUAGGAAUCUCUCCCGCAGAAAAACUCCCAGGAGAAUGCAGGACUGUAGGAACCUGGUUUGUGACGGUGAAAAAUUGGAGGCAAGAGAAUUAUCUGACAAUGAGAGACUGGUUAAAAAAAAAUGGUGAUAGAUCCAUGCUCUGUAGCCAUUAAAAAGAAAGAGCUAAAUCUGUGUGAAUUCAUAUGGAAGGAUUUUUAUGGUAUGGUAUUGGGUGGAAAAAAGCAAGUUACAGACAUACAUAGUAUGGGUUCACUUUUGUAAAAAAAACCUUCAACAACAAUGUGCACAUUUAUACGUAGAUGUUUGUACAUGAGUAGAGAAAGAUCUGAAAGGGUACACACCAAGUUGUAGAUGGUGGUGGCUAAACUCAGGAGUGGGAAUGGUGCAGGUGAGACAGGAAAUUUCCCUUCUAUAGUAUUUCGGGUUUUUUUUACAACAAGGGUUUGUGGCUUUGGAACGAAAAAGGAAAUAAAGAAUUGACUUUCUGGCUUGUCUGAAUAGCACCGUGCCAGGUUCACCACUCUUUCUGAGGAUAUGGAAGAUCACAGCUCAACUCCACAGUGUUACGAUCCGGUCAAGCCAGUUGCAAGUCUGUUACACAGCUUAAUCUGAUAGGUCAUAGCUCUUUCUAGUCCACAACUGCCACAAAGAGACUUCAUCUUUAGCUACUUGCCUACUAAAUUAGAACCAAACCAAAAUGUCCUUUUGCCAAGGCCAGAAUUUAAAGAUUUGCUUUAAAAAUAAUUGUGGUAAAAUAUGCACAACAUAAAAUGUAUGAUUUUAACAUGUACAGUUAAGUGGCAUUGGGCUCAUUGACGGUGUUACGCCAUCAUUGGCACUAUGUGGUUCCAGAACUUUUUCAUCAGUCUAAAGGAAACCCCAUCCCCAUUAGCAUCACUCUCCAUUCUUACUCUCCUACAGCCCCUGGAAACUACUAAUUUUCUUCCUGUCUCUAUGGAUUUGCCUAUUCUCGACAUUUUGUAUAAAUGGAGCCAUACCGUCUAUGGCCUUUUGUGACUGGCUUCUUUCACUUAACAUAAUGUCUUCAAGGGUCAUCAUUCCUUUUUAUGGCUGAAUAAUAUUCCAUAGUAUGGACAUGCCACAGUUUGUUUUAUCCAUUCCUCAGUUGAUGGACACUUUGGAUGUUUUUAUCUUUUAUAUAUAAGAAUAAUGCUGCUAUGAACGUUCCUGUACACAUUUUUAUUUGAGCACCUGUUUUCAGUUCUUUGGGGUAUAUAUGCAGAAGUGGAAUCCUGGGGUCGUAUGAUAAUUUGCCUUUAACUUUAUCAAGAUUUGCUUUUAAAACCCCAGAAGGCCAGUUUCCUGACCAUGGACGACAGGGCAUGAGGAGGAAAAGCUUCCACUGACAUUCUCUGUUGUGUCCCCUGAGUCUAGGCAAUUAGGUGCAUAGAUGAAGAUAAUCACUAUGUAAUUACCCUAUCUACACUUAGAAAACCAUCUGCUAAGAUUCCACUUCUUCUAGAAUAUUCUGAAUAUUGCUAUUACACGAAAUUGGGGAACCGUUCUUCAAAAUAAAUUAAUCAAAUGAUUAACCCAGGAUUUCUCCUGUAAGUUUCACUUACUGUUACACUUGUGGAAAUUCAACAACUCUGACUAUUCCUAAGCAUGACAGAAUUAACCCUGAAUCAUCCAAGUGCCAGACCAAAUUCUUCCGGGCUCGGGGUCUUGAAAUGGACUUUUGUUGAGUGGCAGCCUGCAAUAAUCAGCUUUUCUGAAGGUGGGCUUAACUUGCAAUCAGGAAAACAUAGUAGUUAGGUUGCUUUGGGUCAGUAGGACCUGGGUUCAAGUCUCAACUCUGCUGUUAACUAACUUACCUUGGGAAAGUCACUUAACCCUUCUGAAUCCCUCAGUUUCCUCCUCUGUAAUAUGGGAUUGAUUAUAGGACAUACUUCAUGGAACAUUUAUUCAUUCGACAAACAAUUAUUAUGCACCUACUGUGCAACACAUACCGUUUACCGGCACUGACUGAACCCUCGCCUCGAAAGAGUCCCUCGCCUUGUGGGGAGAGACAGACAAUAAACAUAACGAUGAGUGGUUAUAAGGUCGUUAGAUGGUGAUGACUUUAUGAGGAAAAACUAGAACAGGAGGGCUGAAGGAAGCUCUGCAUUUUAAAUGAUGUGGUCAGCAUAAGCCCCACGAAGAAAGUGGCAUUUGAACAAAGACUCGAAAGAAGAAAGAAGAUAAGUCUUGCAGCUGUCUGGCAAGAAGAACAGGUAGUGCAAAGGCCCUGAGGCAGGAGUGUUCUGCCGUCUUCACGGGAGGUCAAGGACACAGCGGGCUGGACCAGAGUGCAGGUGAGAGAGAAUAGAGGGGUUGAUUUUGUGGGCCACAGUGAGGACUCUGGAUUACUCAGAGAGAUCAGGAGUCCUGUAGGUUUCUGACCUGACCUGACAUAUUUCAAAAGCAUCGUUCAAUCUGCUGUGUUAAAAAUAGACCACAGACAGACAAGGGCAACAGCAGGGUGACCAGCCGCGAGCCUCCUGCACUAACCCAGGUGAGAGGAAAUGGCGGCUCGGCCCAGGGUGGCAGCCUGGAGGUGGUGAGAAACGGCCGGGUUCUGGGUACACUCUGAAGGUGGAGCCAGCACACUUUCCUCUUGGGAGGGUAAGGAAGAUAAUGUGGGCAGAGCUCUUACCACAAAGCCUGUGUGUAGUGGGUAGGGAACAAUGGGAGCCACGAUUAUUACUGGGGUGGGCAUGGCGUGUUCCCCUGCCGGGGCUGAUCAGAACCGAAAAAGAAAGAGAGCAAGAGGGACGCUGUGACGGUUCCCGUGCGAUUUGCAGUGAGUUAUGAGGCCACCAAAGGUAACGAGGCUUUCCCACAAUGGAGCCAAGGCUUCUGCUCUUUCCGGAGAACUGGGAAGGCCAAAGCAGCGAAGCCACGUAAUUUAGAACAAAAUAGAGGUUUUAGGGCCAAGUUUUUCAGAUAACGGCAAAAGCUCCUUUGUCGCAGUGUGUGAAAAGCAACAUCGGUGGGAGAAUGUUUGUUUCUAGAUUCCCCGGCUUUGGAAAUCGUCACCGGCAAUAUCAUUGCAGCCCAGGUAUUUAUUUUUGGGUUCUCGAUUGAACUGCUGGACUCCAGCAGAAUUCCUUGCAGGAAGAAGAAUCAAUCGCCAAGAGACAAUGGGAUUCCUUUCAACUCACCUUCUCUUCGCUCCAAAUUCCAGAGAUGAGACGAGAGACGGCUUCCGAGGCUGAUAGAGAUGGAUUUUGCCGGGAGAGUGCCAACGUCGCUCCUCCCGCCUCCCGUCGGCCCUCUGCCAAAGUCUUCCCAUCGGACAUCUGGCCCCAGCAGGGAGAAACAGGGACCAAGGCACUUAUUUUGGCUUUGACGUCAGCGAAGGAAGGCUGAGUAAAUUCAUCAUUAGUGCAAAUUAAAAUCCACCAAACCAAUUGAACUUUCUUGCCAACUUCCUCCAGAGCACAAGAUCAUCCCUCUUGGUCUCUAAACAAUACGCCAAUCAUCGGAUGGAAGUGAGGGGAGCGCUGACCUGUUAGCACCAAACACAGCCCAGGCCCGGAACGGGAGACACACAACAGGAGCAGAGCUGGCUUUCGUACCCGGCCUGGUAAAGACAACAUGUUCUUACAGGCCAGCCGCGAGUCACGGAGGACAAGAACUGAACGACUUCAUUGCCAUUCAUUGGGUCGCCAUAUUUGCACUGGCAACGAAACCCCCAGGAUACCCCUUGCCCUGGCAAUCAAUUCAUGGAAUCCUAUUUAGGGGGAAAAUGGAGUUUGUGUUUGUGAGAGCUCCUUUUUUAAAUCGUGCGGCUGCAGGGAAGACCUUCCACGUAGAGCUGAGAGGCUGGCAUUGAACCUAACCUCUCUCUUAAAUUUCAUACCACUGGCCUCCCUGAAGAGCCCUGCAGUGGUCACAAAGGUCUUUCCAGCAUGGAAUCUCUCUCAUGCCCAGGCUUUUUCCAUGAAGCCAAUGGUGACAACUGCCAUUGCUGAACACUUCCCGUGGAGUCGGGCCACCUCACUGGAUACUGUGAGGGAGUGAUCCCCAGAAGACUUGGACUAGAGUUCCUCAUCUUUCCAGCUCCCUCAGACCUGACCCUGACCUGGAAACACUGGGAAUUCAAUAACGACUUGUUUUGAUCCAUUGCUUAGAUUGUUGACUGUCCUUCAAAACAUUUUGACAAGGGAAAAGGAACAACGAUCCAGGAGCUCAACAUUUCAAGGAAAUCUAUAGCUUGGUAAAAACACCAAAAGGAAUGAAAACAAGGUGAUAAAACGGAAUAUAAAUAGCUCCACCAUUAUCUGCAGAGUGUGUUAUAAUGCAUAACAGUGGCUGGUCGGUGCAGAAAACACAGCCUCUUUGCAAUGUUUUGUUUGUGUCACCGUUUCUGUUAGUGAG
rnacentral:lncRNA from 1 species